GUCCAAUUUGAAACAGGAGUGUAAGAGUUGUUCUACGCUUCAGACUCGACAUUCUCUAAACAUGCAUGCUGAAAUUGACAUGGUUGUUUUUGUUACACAAACAUGCACAUUCAAGUUUUGAAAUCGGUAGUUGUCAUCGUAGAAAAGGCUGUUGUUCAUGUGUGUAUGUUAUCAGAAAAUUGGUGUGAUUAUUAUUGCUCUUAAGAAAUGUUUCAAACAAACAGAACGUAUAAAACACGUAAAAGUAAUCGUUAAUUCGCAAUUAAUAUGUCAUUGGAAUGCGAGUUGCAAUACACAUUCUGAGGUCACGCAGGUUCAUACAAUACUCAGUCCGGCAGUGGGCGGAGCUUUAAAGCGAUAUCUGUAUAGUAUACAGAUACAGUAUAGCGAUAUCUGUAGGACUGUAUCUGUAAAGUAGAGCACCCAAUUGCAGGAUAAAUA
rnacentral:lncRNA from 1 species